AAGAACUAAUAAUCUGAACAAUCGAAUGAUAGGGUAACGCCUUGA
rfam:Epulopiscium sp. AS2M-Bin001 AS2M_MBin01_118, whole genome shotgun sequence.